rnacentral:rRNA from 1 species
GAACGCUGGCGGCGUGCUUAACACAUGCAAGUCGAACGGGCCCGCUCUCUUUUUUGGGGGUGGGUUGAGUGGCGAACGGGUGAGUAUCACGUGAGUAACCUGCCCCCUGCUCCUGGAUAACUGCUUGAAAGGGCGGCUAAUACGGGGUGUGCCGGCUGGUCCGCAUGGGCCUGGUCGGGAUAGUUUCAUCUUCGGGUGUUUCGGUGGGGGAUGGGCUCGCGGCCUAUCAGCUUGUUGGUGGGGUGAUGGCCCACCAAGGGGGUGGCGGGUAGCCGGCCUGGGGGGUUGCGCGGCCGAGCGGGGACGGGGACACGGCCCAGACGCGUGCGGGAGGCGGCAGUGGGGGGUAUUGCACGAUGGGCGGAAGCCUGAUGGAGCGGCGGCGCGUGGGGGAUGGAGGCCUUCGGGUUGGGAACCUCUUUCUCCGGUGGUGAAGGCCCUGUCCGUUGCGGCGGGGUUGACGGUAGCCGGGUAUGAAGCGCCGGCUAACUACGUG